AUUGAACGCUGGCGGCAGGCCUAACACAUGCAAGUCGAACGGUAACAGGAAACAGCUUGCUGUUUCGCUGACGAGUGGCGGACGGGUGAGUAAUGUCUGGGAAACUGCCUGAUGGAGAGGGAUAACUACUGGAAACGGUAGCUAAUACCGCAUAACGUCGCAAGACCAAAGAGGGGGACCUUCGGGCCUCUUGCCAUCGGAUGUGCCCAGAUGGGAUUAGCUAGUAGGUGGGGUAACGGCUCACCUAGGCGACGAUCCCUAGCUGGUCUGAGAGGAUGACCAGCCACACUGGAACUGAGACACGGUCCAGACUCCUACGGGAGGCAGCAGUGGGGAAUAUUGCACAAUGGGCGCAAGCCUGAUGCAGCCAUGCCGCGUGUAUGAAGAAGGCCUUCGGGUUGUAAAGUACUUUCAGCGGGGAGGAAGGGAGUAAAGUUAAUACCUUUGCUCAUUGACGUUACCCGCAGAAGAAGCACCGGCUAACUCCGU
rnacentral:rRNA from 1 species